UCUGUUAAAAUGUUAUAAGCUCUGCAACUUUACCAUAUGGAAACAAAGAAUUCAUGUUAAUGUUUUCUGUAAGAAGUCAAAGUCUCCAGAAUCUUAUAUACUCCAACAUUUGAAGCACAUAAUGUACUCUUACUAUUGAUGAUUAAUAAACUUAAAUGAUUUUAUGGGUACGUAACUCACAGGUAAACAAGCUCACUGAGUUGGCCUAUGCUGUUGCUUAAUGUGCCUUGAGCGUUAAUAAUGCCCGAAAGCCUCCUGGAAACAGGGAUGCCAAAGUUAACUGGAUGGUAGGUGAAAGUAAAAGAUCAUUAGUUAGUACUCACAGUGACGUCACCCGCCCAUUGUCGCACAUAACCCCGUCCCAUGGUGUACCACAUGGAUCAUUUGAUGCUUUCCAGUUUGAUGGGAAGUCCUGCCAUCCACUGACGAAAGACUGGAGUGCAGCCGCUGACAAUUCGUAUUGCUGUUAUUAUUUAGGAAAUUUAAAGACCACUGACUUAAGCUAUAAUAUCAUUGCAUGGUGUCAUAUCUUCCUUCUAUUGUCAGUUGCUCUGUGUUAAGUUAUGCAGAUAAUAACAAAUCUGCCAACUUGGAGAAUAAUGAAAGGAGAUGAUAUUGAAUGAACUAUUUGAUUUGGUGGUUAUGAUAGCAAGAUUACAUUAUGCACCUGAGUGCCAUCUCCUUUUUGUAGAUAGAACAAAGUUGUUUCUCAUACUAGUAUGGCAGAUAGAAAAUUUCAUCUAAAUACUUGUGUGGCUUGUCACCUUCAACAUGAUCAAGCUACACCUUUGCAGUGAAAGUAAUAUAAGAAGAGAAAGGUACAGAAAUUAGAUUUAUCAUAGUUACCAUCUUGAGGAUCUGUAUCACAGAAUCGCACAGGAAUACUGGCCAACAGCAUCAACAGCAGCAGAAACUUUCUCAAUACCUCCAUUCUCAGAGCCUAUGGGGAUCACCUACGGGGAUCACAAUUUAGAAACACUCAAGAGUGGCAACAAACUACAAAGCUGGUUGUGAAAGCUUCUUUGCAAGAACCCAAAUGGAGGAGCUUCCUAAGAUGAAUGCCAAAGCCUUGCUCUUUGGAAGGACAUUUCUCAAGAAUAGGUCAACCGAAUUUGUACCUGUUUGCAUAUUCUGCGUGAUAGUUGGACCAGCUGCGGGUUUUGUUGCCAAAAGGGAGAGAUGGUCUAGAGGUGAUCGAAAGGCAAGUAAAACAACCAAGUUGCAUAAGGAUUACUGACUGUUCCGUGGGUGUUAUUUCUUAACCUUUUCUAGACAGGCUGAGGACCUUCACGGGUCUAGGCUUUUCUUUGAUCUUUGGUGGCGUGAUACAGGUGGGGACUGAAAUUACAAUGACAAGGAUUUGGAAGCUCUGAUAGUGACAAAGUCAUUGGUUUGUUCCUCCAUUCUUUGUGCAAAGGAAUGUGAGCUGUCUUAAGUUGCCUAUCUCUUGUGGGAUGUUACCUGUGAAGCUGCAUCCAAGCAAAUUCCUGAAGGGAAAAACACACACGAUACGUCAGCUUUACACCUGUCUUUUCUUUUGCUCCUCUCCACCUAACCCAAAGAAGAAGAAUGUUUUUAUAUGGUCGCUGUUCUUACAGAAUGGUGAGCUGCUUCAGAUUUCCAAUAUUUGGGGAAGUUCUUUUGAAAUUGAGGAAGCAAUGACUUACAGAUACGUCAAAGCGGAGAGUUGUUCUAUGGCAUUGCUUAAUGUACCUGCAACAUUCAUGCUUGAUAAUCUCCUGCAAUUACCAGGAAAUUCCAUCCCAGGGUUUGCACGGAUCGGAUCCUGUCCAGCUUUGCGGUUGAUUCCGCCAAUUCUUCAUCAGUGCUUGAAGUGCGGCAACUGCUAAUGGCCGCUCAGUGAGCAACUUAUCCUCAAAAGAAGGCAACUUUUUUCCCAUUAACCCAGUGAGAAAAACGAAGGACUGUGGCUUACCAUCUUGGGGGUUCGUCUGGCUGGAGCCUGACUGAAGGCACAGCAAGAGCAAGAACAGGAACAGCACCCACUGCAUCGCCACUCAGCCGUGUUGUCCUAGCCUCUACAGCAGAUCAAGAUCACAUCAAACCAGAAGUAGUUUCGAUGGAUGUUCUUGUCGGACAAGUCUACCCAAUUGACAAGUUCGUGGAGGAGCUAGCAGGUACCAAACGGCGCACCCUCAGUAACAAAGGCAGGCAAAGCAAACAGGUGAAUCUCAGGUUGGGUCAAGAACUGAAGAUGCCUGCCAGCGCCAGGCAGCAGCCCUGCCGAUGUUGACAUGGCAUGAGGGCAUGUAAUGAUGAAUUAUGCCGACUAGCUCGCCCAUGUUUGGUCAGGAUACCCCUCUUUGACAUGGUCACGAUCUGUUAGUUUAUUUGUUCGUUCCCUCGAAUCCGCGAUAGUAGUCAGUUUAAAUACUACUCAUAACUGUGCAUCUUUCUUUUUUGCAAGGAUGAGAUGUUUCUGUAGCUUUCUGUAGGGCACUACGGUCUUCAUGGGACCUUCAUCAGCGCCAAACAACACAAUAGUUUACUUAUUUUGAGGCAACAGCACAAUUGUUAAUGUGGCA